rnacentral:lncRNA from 1 species
ACUCCCAUUUUAAACUUCUACAAAAAAGGCAUCAUUGUCCAAGUCAUAAUUGCUCAGAAUACAGUUGAUAAUUCAUUAUGUCAAGAAUUCUGGAAUCUUUAAAUAUGUGUGCACGUACAUAUACGUGUAUCAUACGUGCAGUAGGGAUGAAUUACUGAAGCUUCCAGGCAGGAUGCCCAACAGUCACCGCUCCCAGCUAUGGGGUGUUCCUUAGCGUCACACAAUCGCUAAGGGAAAGGGAUCAGAGGGAAGCACUGCGGAAGGACACUCUGAAUCAGCCUCUGUUCCCCAGUGGUUCAGCGCUUUGAGGCUGCUCGUUAGAAAGCUUCUUCUGACAGUAAUUUAUAGUCCAGCAUUCCAGCGAGCUAAUUGCAGGGACAGAGAGGAGGCAGAAAGGAAUCCAGUGGAUUGCAUUGCUCUCACACCCUUCUGCAGCAGCCUCUCAGCCUAUAUCCCUGCCUGCUUCAGUGCUGUGUGACUGGCAGGAACUGCGAGACUGGGCAAAUAAUAAUGCUUCAGGUCCAUACUGUGCAGGCAGCAAUGACCAUACCAGCAGCAAGGCGCUGGGGAUUCAGGUUUCUCAAAAUAAAUACGUUUUUAGCAGGAAGAUGAAAUAAAAAGAAGAAAAAAUGGCACUUCUAAUCAAGGAGAUUAAAGAAUGGUCCGUUGUAGGUACUCAGAAUACACCUUGGAGGAACCACAGUCCAACAGGAAGAAAGCAACCGAGCUAACUAUACCUAAUAUAGCCUAAUUAAAGAAGUCUUUGAGUUACCUUCACAGUGCUCUUGCCAAUUCAUACUAUACCCACUGGUGUCAAAAGCAGUGCUGAGAUCCAAACAAAAGUAAAUGCCCACUCCCUAGUACUGGCUGUAUAUUUAGUUAGCUUUACAACACUGGCCACAGCAAAGAUUCACAUGUCUCUCUAAGGACAACUCCACACAGAAACUAUAAACAGUGCUGGAACUUGGGUAUUGUCAAAAAAUAUCUGUGAAGGGUAUGAACAGAAAGAAAUCAUAUACAGCUUCUUUCUUGGGGAAAUUUGUCUGUGGAUGUGGACAGACACAGAGCCAGACAAGUGGCUGUGCUGCAAGAAAGCCGCUGACAGUCUGAGAAUUGAUCUUAAGGUCCCCAUUUGGGUAACAUGAAGCAGAAGACAACGCACUUCUAAACCACCUUAUAUGAUUCAUAUAGUGAAUAACGCCACCCACAUCUAAUCUGUGUUUGCCUGAACUUCCAAAACAUUGCAAUCUGUGAAGAAAGCAGCCUACUGAAUUUAAAGUGGGUGCCUUGCUUUGAAAGAGCACUUUCUUAGGACAAACACUCCAUGCUAGGGAAAACCUAGGAUGACUCGAAGUCUGGAGUGGCUGGUUGUGGUGGAAGUGAAAUCGUUUCCUCAUUGCUGACUCCUCCUUAAAGGGUCAUAUAAUUAAAGGGUACAUCUCCAAGUGCACAAAACUAGAAUCUGUAUCAGUAGAAACACACAAGUUGGGAAGUUUCCCACUUCACAAUCUAUUGUUUCAACAGCAAAU